ACGCUCGACACCUACGGGAAGCAGCAGUGGGGAAUAUUGCACAAUGGGGGAAACCCUGAUGCAGCGACGCCGCGUGAAGGAAGAAGUAUCUCGGUAUGUAAACUUCUAUCAGCAGGGAAGAAAAUGACGGUAUCUGACUAAGAAGCCCCGGCUAACUACGUGUCAGCAGCCGCGGUAAUCUGAGCGGGCUGGCAAGGC
rnacentral:rRNA from 1 species